UGGUUUGUCGCGUUGUUCGUGAAAUCUCACGGCUUAACUGUGAGCGUGCGGGCGAUACGGGCAGACUUGAGUACUGCAGGGGAGACUGGAAUUCCUGGUGUAGCGGUGGAAUGCGCAGAUAUCAGGAGGAACACCGGUGGCGAAGGCGGGUCUCUGGGCAGUAACUGACGCUGAGGAGCGAAAGCGUGGGGAGCGAACAGGAUUAGAUACCCUGGUAGUCCACGCCGUAAACGGUGGGUACUAGGUGUGGGUUUCCUUCCUUGGGAUCCGUGCCGUAGCUAACGCAUUAAGUACCCCGCCUGGGGAGUACGGCCGCAAGGCUAAAACUCAAAGAAAUUGACGGGGGCCCGCACAAGCGGCGGAGCAUGUGGAUUAAUUCGAUGCAACGCGAAGAACCUUACCUGGGUUUGACAUGCACAGGACGCCGGCAGAGAUGUCGGUUCCCUUGUGGCCUGUGUGCAGGUGGUGCAUGGCUGUCGUCAGCUCGUGUCGUGAGAUGUUGGGUUAAGUCCCGCAACGAGCGCAACCCUUGUCUCAUGUUGCCAGCGGGUAAUGCCGGGGACUCGUGAGAGACUGCCGGGGUCAACUCGGAGGAAGGUGGGGAUGACGUCAAGUCAUCAUGCCCCUUAUGUCCAGGGCUUCACACAUGCUACAAUGGCCGGUACAAAGGGCUGCGAUGCCGCGAGGUUAAGCGAAUCCUUUUAAAGCCGGUCUCAGUUCGGAUCGGGGUCUGCAACUCGACCCCGUGAAGUCGGAGUCGCUAGUAAUCGCAG
rnacentral:rRNA from 1 species